GACGUAGGGCGCGAGCGUUGUCCGGAUUUAUUGGGCGUAAAGAGCUCGUAGGCGGCUCGUUGCGUCGGCUGUGAAAACCCGCAGCUCAACUGUGGGCUUGCAGCUGAUACGGGCGGGCUGGGAUUCGGUAGGGGAGACUGGAAUUCCUGGUGUAGCGGUGAAAUGACGCAGAUAUCAGGAGGAACACCGGUGGCGAAGGCGGGUCUCUGGGCCGGAUAACUGACGCUGGAGGAGCGAAAGCGUGGGGAGCAAACAGG
rnacentral:rRNA from 1 species